UACGGAGGAUGCGAGCGUUAUCCGGAUUUAUUGGGUUUAAAGGGUGCGUAGGCGGAUCGUUAAGUCAGUGGUCAAAUUGAGGGGCUCAACCCCUUCCCGCCAUUGAAACUGGCGAUCUUGAGUGGAAGAGAAGUAUGCGGAAUGCGUGGUGUAGCGGUGAAAUGCAUAGAUAUCACGCAGGACCCCGAUUGCGAAGGCAGCAUGCCGGCUUCCGACUGACGCUGAAGCACGAAAGCGUGGGGAUCGAACAGG
rnacentral:rRNA from 1 species